rnacentral:rRNA from 1 species
UACGUAGGGGGCAAGCGUUGUCCGGAAUCAUUGGGCGUAAAGAGCGUGUAGGCGGCCCGGUAAGUCCGCUGUGAAAGUCGGGGGCUCAACCCUCGAAUGCCGAUGGAUACUGUCGGGCUAGAGUGCGGAAGAGGCGAGUGGAAUUCCUGGUGUAGCGGUGAAAUGCGCAGAUAUCAGGAGGAACACCGAUUGCGAAGGCAGCUCGCUGGGACGUAACUGACGCUGAGACGCGAAAGCGUGGGGAGCAAACAGG